rnacentral:rRNA from 1 species
AACGGAAGGGGCAAGUGUUUCUCGUAUUGACUGGGCUUAAAGGGCAAGUAGGUUGUCCGCUGAUGGAUAGUAAAAGGAAAAGCUAUGGCGUAACCGUAGUUUUUUACUAUCAUACAUCUUUGGACUAAGAAUAGUGCUGAGGUUUUUAGAAUUCUUAGCGGAGGGGUGGAAUCCGGCAAGGCUAGGAGGAAUGCCAAUUGGCGAAGGCAAUUUUCCAGAGUCUAUUGACGCUAAGAGGCGCAAGCAUGGGGAUCAAAUAGG